rnacentral:lncRNA from 1 species
UCCUCGAUGCUAUUGUCCUUUGGCCGACCACAGUAACAGACGUCUCCUACAACUCGUGAUUUACUUGGGCAUGUACGAUCAGUCGAGGAAUUAAGCAAUAUCAAACUCGAUUUCUUCUAUGAAAAAGAAAUCCAUCGAAAUUUGAGAAAGAGACAUUAUAUUGAUCAUAACUGCUAGAAAUUCGAUCAAAACGACACACGAGAAGAUGGGUUUCAAAAUAAACUUGUUAUUCAUGCUUGUCCUUAGCAUGUUCAGCAUGGGAUAUACUAUAAGACACUUGCAUUACUAUGAAAGAUACAAUAUUACCCGUGGACAUGGCCGUUUUAUUUUAUUUCCGCACAGGCCAUCGUUGAGGGACGAGAUACGUUUCGGAAAUCUCAAAAACUGGUCUCACUUUACUGAAUAGGGAUAGCGGAAAAAAUAGAAUUAAUUUUAAAAAUUAUCAAUGCAUGAAAACAUGCUGUCAAUAAUACUCUAUAUAUCUUAACAAUGAAGAAUAUUUUAAAUUCAUUCAAGAAUAUAAAAUUCUUGAAAAAAAAAUUUUUUAGAAUUUCCUGCAUGUUUAUAUGAAUUUAUAAUAAUUUAAUAUUGAAUUUAAAUUGAAAUACUAAAUGAAAGACUCUGCGAAGUCUUUAUAAAAUACUUGCAAAAGUGUUUUAUUUUUACGA